rnacentral:rRNA from 1 species
GAUGAACGCUGGCGGCGUGCUUAACACAUGCAAGUCGAACGGAAAGGCUCCUGCUUGCAGGGGUACUCGAGUGGCGAACGGGUGAGUAACACGUGGGUGAUCUGCCCUGCACUUCGGGAUAAGCCUGGGAAACUGGGUCUAAUACCGGAUAGGACGAUGGUUUGGAUGCCAUUGUGGAAAGUUUUUCGGUGUGGGAUGAGCUCGCGGCCUAUCAGCUUGUUGGUGGGGUAAUGGCCUACCAAGGCGUCGACGGGUAGCCGGCCUGAGAGGGUGUACGGCCACAUUGGGACUGAGAUACGGCCCAGACUCCUACGGGAGGCAGCAGUGGGGAAUAUUGCACAAUGGGCGCAAGCCUGAUGCAGCGACGCCGCGUGGGGGAUGACGGCCUUCGGGUUGUAAACUCCUUUCGCUAGGGACGAAGCGCAAGUGACGGUACCUGGAGAGGAGGCACCGGCUAACUACGUG